UGGACUUAAGGCUGCUUCAGCCUUCCCGAAGGAAGCGGGAGGACGACGGUGCACGUGAGCAUCACGCGUGCGGGUCACAGGGUGACGCGCGGGGCACCCGACGUCAGCCGGACCGCCGUUACCGUAAGUGUUCAACACUGUGAGCACUCUCAAUAAGGGACCGCUACCCGCGAGCUCCCUUGGACCGGCGUUCACCUGAGUAGCCUAGAGCGAAGAGACUCGGAUAGACCACCAAGGACCUGCUGUGACCGCUGCCGCUUGCCGCCUCCUCCCCCAUCCAGCAAGACCGUGAGACUGCAAGCGCACACGUGUCCCUCGCCUCCGCUGGACCCCCACACACCUAUCACUACUGCUACCACCAUGAUUCUUCACCACAGUGAGUCUGCUGUUCUUGAGGCUGUAGUCUGAGCUAUCUUUGCGACGGACACCCCGGAGGUUUGUCCUCGAACUGUGCUGGCAACUGCAGGCACAUUUUCACUCCUGACAAGGGGGUAAAUGCUGUCUCGGGUCCACCGUGGACCAACUGCAGCACAGCCGCUGUAGCCCUCACCAUUCCUGGAUGAAGAGGAUCUGUGACUUGAGCUGAUUCAUAGAUCCUUCUUCACUCUUGGGGAUGCCCGAGAUUGGAGUCUGAUCCUGGUUUGUUAUUUUAAUUUUUUAUUUUUCUCUCGGCUACAGCCAUGGGACAAAGGGGCGGAUAUAUUUACUACCUACAUUGGCAGAUAGGGGCGGGGGGGGUACCGAUAAAUCUGGCCACAUAACAGUGUCCCGGGAACUUCUGCCAACAAAUGAGCAAAAGCCAUAGAACAAAGGGGCAGGUACCGGUAAAUUUGACCGCAUAACAGCUUCACGGUACUGAUAAAUCAGGUCGCAUAACAGUGUCAUGGGAACUUCUGCCAGCUAACAGGCAAAUAAAAGAGUUACUUUAUCCCCAAGCUUUCUGCUAAAGCUCUAAACCCUUCUCCCUCCCCACUUCUGCGUCUGCCACAUGCAACCUUUUCUGUCUGACUUCUGCCGGCAGUGGGUGGGCCCAAAUGGGCAGGAUUGGGCGGCUUCUACUGACGCUCGUCCUAACUCACCUUAACUCUACCCACUCAUUCUCAAACUGCCUUGAGAGACACAGACAGGUCUGGUAGCGGCUAAGAUCCAUACAGAUAAGUUUACAGUAGUCAGGAUGGCUCUUAAGGCAAAAAUCAGCUUAUAGCCUCAAACAAGUCUUCCAAAAGGAUCGGUUUAUAGUCUGCCUCCUGGCAGAUCUUCCAAAAGCUGUCUUUAAGCCAACAAGCAUCAGGAAAAAAAAAAUUUAGGACAUGGAGUAAAAUCCGUCUCUUGUUCCCCAGACCUCCCCGACUAAAACUUAAGCAUCUGGAGAGCAAGGCUCCUGACCCCACAGGCAAAAGAGUCAUCUAUGGCAUUUAAGGUGUGCCAGGGAAGAGAUAAAAGCCCAAAAACUAAAUUGCCAAGUGCUGGCACUUGCUGACUCCCGAAAGCUGUUGGGUCCCUGUUUUAAGUGAGGAAAAAGGCCCCGGGCUAGCGAAUGCCCUACCAGGCCAUCAACAGCCUUGUUAAAAGUGCUGCCUAGAAAGACAACCAGUCAGCUGACUGCCCCCAGGCGCCAAGACGCAUGGGUACAUCAAGCUAAGACCUCUAGCAGACCUAGGCUUGGCUACAGACAUGACAGUGAACCCAGAACGCAGCAGGGAAGCGAUCCAUUUCUUUCCUCCUGGACACCAAAACCACUGACUCAGUCCUGGGAGUUUUGGGAUGCCACCUCUCCUUUAUUGUUGGGUACAGAGGACAGUCUUACCCACCUCACCAGAUUUAAUUGCACUUUCAGAGUUACUUAAUGAAAAAGAUUUCCAGCUAAGAUAAGAGCUCGUUGUCUCACUUCAGAUCCACUGCCUGUGUUUCUCACGUGCAUACAGACAGGGCCCUGAUCUUUGCCUUGUCCCUAAUUCCAAAAAAAUAAGUUCUCAUGCACCACGAGCUUUUCUCUUCCCAGUGCCCCAUUCUAACUCACUGUUCAGCCAAUGAUACAGGACUACCACAGAACCAGAGUCCAGAGAUCAUCAAGUAAGAAACUGUAACAGCUAAAAGGUAUUUAUAUCCCCAGACCCAAAAGCAUCUGGGUGCUACAAAAAGACUUUAAUGUAAACAUCUAUUACUGUGAGAUGCUUUUAACAAUUGAUCACCUGUCUCCUGGAUGCCAAACUAGUAAAGGAAACAGGUGCUUUAAAUUAAUCUGUCUCUGAUAAAACUUAACAUGUUUCAAAAUCCAUCUGGACAGGCCAUAUCUACCUCAGAUAAAUGCCAACAUAAAAUAAUAAUGAUUCUUUUCUCUCUAAACUUUUUUCUGUGUCACCAACAUCUUGUCAAACAGAAAGUUCCCAGCCACAGCCAAGAGGGAUACAUGUCUCCAGAGAAAACGUAUGACAGACAGCAUCCCACAACGCCUGUCUACCUCGGAAGACUCCCCUUCUCCAUUCCCCCAGAGCCAACCGACGUCCAAAAGUCAGCUGGAAGCAGUUUUUGAGAGAAACGAUGCCCCUAUUCCCAUCUACCUGCUUUUUUUAUAAUAAGCGAAAGUCUGGGAUGUAAGGAUUCUGUCCUUAAUCACCUUAUGUCACCAGCACCAGCGUUCCAGCUUAAAAAGUAGACGUGCCCUCUGUGUGUUCUCUCCUUUUCCGCACUCUCUCCUUCCGUAUCCCCCCCAGCCUCUCUCUCUCUCUCUCUCUCUCUCUCUCUCUCUCUCUCUCUCUGUCUGUCUCCCUCUCCCAAUAAAGCUCUAGAAAGGUAACUGUGGCUCGUGACUCUUCCGUCUCACCAAUACAUCGAGCACUCUCCUCCAUCAGCAUGGUCGCCGUGGGCGGAGGCCAGCCACGAGAGACACCGCUUAACCAACAGUUACUUCCCUUCAUUUUGUUUAUUUGCACUUGCUUAUUUUGCAUAUAUAUGUAUGAAUAUCUACUUUGGAAGGAAAUGCCUACUGAACCAUCUUGCCAGCCCAGUACCUUGUUUUUGUUUGUUUGUUUUCAGAUGACCAAAAUGAAAAAAAAAUAGCCUUGGAAUUUUAUGGGAAUCCCAUCAUCUGGAUGAGUGUCUCAUAGCCAAACAGAUGCUAAGAGACAUUUUGGACCCAGGUUUCUAUUAAUGUUUACAGCAGUGUUUUUGCUCCAGACAGUAUUUAAAUAGUUAGAUUUUUUUAUUGAGUAAAUGAAAACAAAUGAUAGCAAGUCACGCUAAUGGAAAUGCAGUGAGCUAAGUGAAUAUAAGCAAUGAACUUCAUAUUCACAUUUUUAGCGGUAAUGUAAUUUCAGCCAAACAUCAGUUGUUAAAUCUAAUUGUUACUGAUAAUGGUAAGGUCCUGUUUUGUGAUGCCAGAGCAAGGCAGUAGGGUCAAAGCACUUGUCCUGUGAGCCUUUUGACCUGUUCCAUCUCCAGAACCUACAACUUUCAAAAAAAUUGUCCUCUGACUUCCAUAUCCUUGUUGUGGCAUGGACAUUCCCACACUCACAUAUUACAUACAAAUGAUUAUCGUUAAAAUGUUUUGUAAUUUUCUUCCAGUCGUUUUGCCCAUAAGCUUAUUAUUUUAUGAUUCUAUAAGAGCUUCAGCAUAAGAAUAUGUAUGGUUUUACCCAUAUAUUUAUUUGUGGGUAGGGUAUUGUUUGUUCUUGAUUUUGAAACGGGGUCUGACUGACUUGGACCUCAUUAGGUGGACAAGGCUUGCCUGGACCUUGUGGCAAUCCUGCUCUGUUUCCUCAGUGUAGGGAAUACAAAUAUGCACUACUAAAUCUGGUUACUUUGUAAUACGUUAAUGGAAGUCCAUUCUAGGCAUCUAAAUAUUCUCCUUUAGUGAUAUAUCAGUUCAUGCACUGUAGCCCUUGGAAACAUGCUUUCAGAUGGUGACAUGUUCAUAAGUGCCAUAUUUCCUAUCUCAGUGUCUUAGAGACAGAUGUUCAGUCCAUGCCUAGCAAAUAUUUAGAACUUGAUGGAAGAUGUUUAUGUUUAAAUUGACCUUCGCUCUGAUAUUCUAUGCAUUCUUUUUACCUUUUCCAUCACAUAUAAUCAAUACUUCUUAUUGUGUUAUAUUCUGUUUCCUGAAUUUAUUCUAGAAUGCUUUCUAGAACAAGAAUGGAUAUGAAUACUUAUUUCUAGUAAUAAACAAAAGAAUAACCAAUAUGAGCCUGAUGCAGUAGGAAGUAACAUUUACAAUCUCAUGUGAUUUAGGAUAUGAGAUUAGAGGUUAAAGUAUAAAUAAACACACCUUCUAAUCAUUUCAUAAAAAUAAAUGGAAGUGGCCACUAGUAUCCGGUUAAUCCAUUCAAACAGGAUAUUAAAAUAAUCCAUGUACUUUAUUCCUUUUCCACCUGGGGAAAUACUAGUGCCCUCUAGCGUCCAAAAUGCAUCUUGCUAACUGUCCUGUAUUCAUAACUUUACAAUGUUGGACGUUUUAAAGGUGAAUUUGGGAACGUUAACCUUGAGCAAUCAAAGAUCUUUUGUUCUACAAGUCUACAAAUAUUCUUGUUUUCAAGACUAAGGAACACAGACAGAAAAUAAAUAUCUGAAGAGAUAGGAAUAUUUUUAAUCCACUCUUAGAAGUCUAAGAUCCUGUAUCCUGUGUCUCCGGUGCAGCUUCAUCGGAACCUAGAAAAUAAACUUUAUUGUAUUCCAUGGCAA